UGCAAGUCGAGCGGUAACAUUUCUAGCUUGCUAGAAGAUGACGAGCGGCGGACGGGUGAGUAAUACUUAGGAAUCUACCUAGUAGUGGGGGAUAGCUCGGGGAAACUCGAAUUAAUACCGCAUACGACCUACGGGAGAAAGGGGGCAACUUGUUGCUCUCGCUAUUAGAUGAGCCUAAGUCGGAUUAGCUAGAUGGUGGGGUAAAGGCCUACCAUGGCGACGAUCUGUAGCUGGUCUGAGAGGAUGAUCAGCCACACCGGGACUGAGACACGGCCCGGACUCCUACGGGAGGCAGCAGUGGGGAAUAUUGGACAAUGGGGGAAACCCUGAUCCAGCCAUGCCGCGUGUGUGAAGAAGGCCUUUUGGUUGUAAAGCACUUUAAGCAGUGAAGAAGACUCUUCGGUUAAUACCCGGAGACGAUGACAUUAGCUGCAGAAUAAGCACCGGCUAACUCUGUGCCAGCAGCCGCGGUAAUACAGAGGGUGCAAGCGUUAAUCGGAAUUACUGGGCGUAAAGCGAGCGUAGGUGGCUUGAUAAGUCAGAUGUGAAAUCCCCGGGCUUAACCUGGGAACUGCAUCUGAUACUGUCAGGCUAGAGUAGGUGAGAGGAAGGUAGAAUUCCAGGUGUAGCGGUGAAAUGCGUAGAGAUCUGGAGGAAUACCGAUGGCGAAGGCAGCCUUCUGGCAUCAUACUGACACUGAGGCUCGAAAGCGUGGGUAGCAAACAGGAUUAGAUACCCUGGUAGUCCACGCCGUAAACGAUGUCUACUAGUCGUUGGGUCCCUUGAGGACUUAGUGACGCAGCUAACGCAAUAAGUAGACCGCCUGGGGAGUACGGCCGCAAGGUUAAAACUCAAAUGAAUUGACGGGGGCCCGCACAAGCGGUGGAGCAUGUGGUUUAAUUCGAUGCAACGCGAAGAACCUUACCUGGUCUUGACAUAUCUAGAAUCCUGCAGAGAUGCGGGAGUGCCUUCGGGAAUUAGAAUACAGGUGCUGCAUGGCUGUCGUCAGCUCGUGUCGUGAGAUGUUGGGUUAAGUCCCGCAACGAGCGCAACCCUUGUCCUUAGUUACCAGCGGGUUAAGCCGGGAACUCUAAGGAUACUGCCAGUGACAAACUGGAGGAAGGCGGGGACGACGUCAAGUCAUCAUGGCCCUUACGACCAGGGCUACACACGUGCUACAAUGGUAGGUACAGAGGGCAGCUACACAGCGAUGUGAUGCGAAUCUCAAAAAGCCUAUCGUAGUCCAGAUUGGAGUCUGCAACUCGACUCCAUGAAGUAGGAAUCGCUAGUAAUC
rnacentral:rRNA from 1 species